rnacentral:lncRNA from 1 species
AGGAAUUCAUGCCCAUCGCCAAAAUAGCAAACAUGACGGGAAUUGAUUUCACGGAAGUUGAUUUCCACAAAGGCACGUUGAGAUGCCUUAAAUUUUCGAGUAUUCAUCAUCUGGGCAGGGAGCAUUGCUUAUCAGCAUCUCGAUCCUUAGAUUCAAGGCGUAAGGCGUUCAGGGCAUGACAUCCACGCAUUCGAGGGUUGAGAUGCACUGUCGAGGAAAAACAGAACUCCCAGAGCAUGAAUAGUUUCUCGACAUCUGUAUGUUAAAUCUUAAGGAUUGUGUUAGAUAUUUCCUGUCCUUGCUUUCAGUCUACGGAACAUCUAGAAAACUUUUCAGUAUAAAAUUGCAGGUUACUACUAGCCCAGUUCGUCACGAGACCAUGCAACUCAAGAAUCAUGGAACUGCAUGCGCUUGCAUUCGGAUUGGCCUAUUAUUUUCUCUUUGCCUUCGUCCUUCGGCA